rnacentral:tRNA from 1 species
CCGGGAUGGCCAAUGGCGGCGAGGCGGUGCCCUUGCGCUGGCAUCGUGGCAUAGAGGAAGGAAAAGGUGCGCGGAUCUUGUCAGCGGCUUCGGCC